rnacentral:piRNA from 1 species
UGCAGGUCCUACAGAAGUUGUGUUGUUCGUU